ACCGUCCGCAACGCGCCGCGUGCUCCCUCCGUCGAUGCUUUAGAAAAUGCUCAGGGUUUAGCAAGCCCUUGUUCCAUAUCUAAAGAGAGGAGCUGUUCCAAGGAUAAUAUCAGUGUAAAUAAAUCUGGAACUUCAAGCCUUUGUUUGGAGCCACAGCAGA